rnacentral:rRNA from 1 species
UGGGGAAUCUUGCGCAAUGGACGAAAGUCUGACGCAGCGACGCCGCGUGAGCGAUGAAGGCCUUCGGGUUGUAAAGCUCUGUGGGGAGAGACGAAUAAGGUGCAGCUAAUACCUGCAUCGAUGACGGUAUCUCCUUAGCAAGCACCGGCUAACUCUGUGCCAGCAGCCGCGGUAAGACAGAGGGUGCAAACGUUGUUCGGAAUUACUGGGCGUAAAGCGCGUGUAGGCGGCUGCCUAAGUCGGGCGUGAAAUCCCAUGGCUCAACCAUGGAAGUGCACCCGAAACUGGGUAGCUAGAGUCCUGGAGAGGAAGGUGGAAUGCUUGGUGUAGAGGUGAAAUUCGUAGAUAUCAAGCGGAACACCGGUGGCGAAGGCGGCCUCUGGACAGUGACUGACGCUGAGACGCGAAAGCGUGGGGAGCAAACAGGAUUAGAUACCCUGGUAGUCCACGCCGUAAACGAUGAGUGC